rnacentral:rRNA from 1 species
AUGAAGGCCCCGGCGCUGGAGGUGCUGCCGGCCGAGAAGCCCGUGCGCGAUAACGAUAAGCGCGAGGGCGUCGCCAACUUGGACACCAUGCUCGCCUUCCCUGAGGACGACGAGCACGACAAGGCAGCGGUGGAGGACGAGGCCAAGGCCAGCGCGCAGGACAAGGUGAGCCGCUAUUCAGUUGGGACAGGGAAGACCACCUUCAUGCACCGUCUGGUGUGUCAUAUGCAAGCAUCGGCGAAUAUGAGGCGUUAUGUGCUCAACCUUGACCCUGCGGUGGUGACACUGCCAUUUGGAGCCAACAUUGAUAUCCGUGAUACUGUGCGUUACAAGGAGGUGAUGAAAGAAAAGGGCAACCUGGUGCAUGUAGCUCCCGCUUGCGCAGGGUCCAGGGAAGGGUCCGACCACUUUGGGUCUAUACUAAUAGAUGUCCAAUAUUCAUCCUUGAAGGUUAUAUCUGUUAUUGAAAAGCUAGCAGACCAACUGGAUUAUGUGCUGAUGGACACCCCAGGGUAG